rnacentral:rRNA from 1 species
UUAACACAUGCAAGUCGAGCGGAGUGAGGNGCUUGCACCUUAUCUUAGCGGCGGACGGGUGAGUAAUGCUUAGGAAUCUGCCUAUUAGUGGGGGACAACAUUCCGAAAGGAAUGCUAAUACCGCAUACGUCCUACGGGAGAAAGCAGGGGAUCUUCGGACCUUGCGCUAAUAGAUGAGCCUAAGUCGGAUUAGCUAGUUGGUGGGGUAAAGGCCUACCAAGGCGACGAUCUGUAGCGGGUCUGAGAGGAUGAUCCGCCACACUGGGACUGAGACACGGCCCAGACUCCUACGGGAGGCAGCAGUGGGGAAUAUUGGACAAUGGGGGGAACCCUGAUCCAGCCAUGCCGCGUGUGUGAAGAAGGCCUUAUGGUUGUAAAGCACUUUAAGCGAGGAGGAGGCUACUGAGACUAAUACUCUUGGAUAGUGGACGUUACUCGCAGAAUAAGCACCGGCUAACUCUGUGCCAGCAGCCGCGGUAAUACAGAGGGUGCGAGCGUUAAUCGGAUUUACUGGGCGUAAAGCGUGCGUAGGCGGCUUUUUAAGUCGGAUGUGAAAUCCCCGAGCUUAACUUGGGAAUUGCAUUCGAUACUGGGAAGCUAGAGUAUGGGAGAGGAUGGUAGAAUUCCAGGUGUAGCGGUGAAAUGCGUAGAGAUCUGGAGGAAUACCGAUGGCGAAGGCAGCCAUCUGGCCUAAUACUGACGCUGAGGUACGAAAGCAUGGGGAGCAAACAGGAUUAGAUACCCCUGGUAGUCCAUGCCGUAAACGAUGUCUACUAGCCGUUGGGG